CAGUAGCCACGGGAAUACGUUGGGCGCAAGCGUUGUCCGGAAUUAUUGGGCGUAAAGAGCUCGUAGGCGGUCUGUCGCGUCUGGUGUGAAAUCCCGAGGCUCAACCUCGGGCUUGCAUCGGGUACGGGCAGACUAGAGUGCGGUAGGGGAGACUGGAAUUCCUGGUGUAGCGGUGGAAUGCGCAGAUAUCAGGAGGAACACCGAUGGCGAAGGCAGGUCUCUGGGCCGCAACUGACGCUGAGAAGCGAAAGCAUGGGGAGCGAACAGGAUUAGAGACCCCCGUAGUCCCUGUCUCUUAUAC
rnacentral:rRNA from 1 species